rnacentral:rRNA from 1 species
ACGAACGCUGGCGGCGCGCCUAACACAUGCAAGUCGAACGAGCGAGAGAGAGCUUGCUUUCUCACGCGAGUGGCGAACGGGUGAGUAACGCGUGAGGAACCUGCCUCAAAGAGGGGGACAACAGUUGGAAACGACUGCUAAUACCGCAUAAGCCCACAGGUCGGCAUCGACCAGAGGGAAAAGGAGCAAUCCGCUUUGAGAUGGCCUCGCGUCCGAUUAGCUAGUUGGUGAGGUAACGGCCCACCAAGGCAACGAUCGGUAGCCGGACUGAGAGGUUGAACGGCCACAUUGGGACUGAGACACGGCCCAGACUCCUACGGGAGGCAGCAGUGGGGAAUAUUGCACAAUGGGGGAAACCCUGAUGCAGCGACGCCGCGUGGAGGAAGAAGGUCUUCGGAUUGUAAACUCCUGUUGUUGAGGAAGAUAAUGACGGUACUCAACAAGGAAGUGACGGCUAACUACGUG